rnacentral:tRNA from 1 species
GGUCGGGUAGCUCAGUUGGUAGAGCAAUGGACUGAAAAUCCAUGUGUCGGCGGUUCGAACCCGCCCCCGACCA